CAGAGCCCGGCGGUAGGGGGUCCCUGAGGGUGGGGGCACCCUCAGGGCACUAUACUGGCACUAUAGUGGUCCUUUAAAGGACCACUAUAGGCACCCAGACCACUUCAGCUUAAUGAGGUGGUCUGGGUGCCUGGUCCAUCUAGGGUUAACCCUUUUUUACUAUAAACAUAGCAGUUUCAGAGAAACUGCUAUGUUUAUGUUAGGGUUAAUCCAGCCUCUAGUGGCUGUCUCAAUGACAGCUGCUAAAGGGCUUCCGCGUUUCUCACUGUGAAAAUCACAGUGAGAAGACGCCAGCGUCCAUAGGAAAGCAUUGUGAAUGCUUUCUUAUGGACUGGCUGAAUGUGCGCGCGGCACCUGCCGUGCAUGCGCAUUGAGCCGAAGAGGAGGAGAGCUCCCCGCCCCGGCGCUGGAGAGAGAGGUAAGUUUAACCCCUUCCUCUCCAUCCAGCCCGGCAGGAGGGGGACCCUGAG